rnacentral:rRNA from 1 species
GCUACACAUGCAGUCGAACGGAUCCUUCGGGAUUAGUGGCGGACGGGUGAGUAACGCGUGGGAAUAUACCCUUUGGUACGGAAUAGCCUCGGGAAACUGAGAGUAAUACCGUAUGUGCCCUUCGGGGGAAAGAUUUAUCGCCAAAGGAUUAGCCCGCGUUGGAUUAGGUAGUUGGUGGGGUAAUGGCCUACCAAGCCGACGAUCCAUAGCUGGUUUGAGAGGAUGAUCAGCCACACUGGGACUGAGACACGGCCCAGACUCCUACGGGAGGCAGCAGUGGGGAAUCUUAGACNAUGGGGGAAACCCUGAUCUAGCCNUGCCGCGUGAUCGAUGAAGGCCUUAGGGUUGUNAAGAUCUUUCAGUUGGGAAGAUAAUGACGGUACCAACAGAAGAAGCCCCGGCUAACUCCGUGCCAGCNGCCGCGGUAAUACGGAGGGGGCUAGCGUUAUUCGGAAUUACUGGGCGU